GACGAGCCACACAAACGUUAUUCGGAAUUACUGGGCUUAAAGGGUGCGUAGGCGGCGCGGAAAGUUGGGUGUGAAAUCUCUCGGCUCAACCGAGGAAUGGCGCCCAAAACUACCGUGCUCGAGGAAGACAGAGGUGAGCGGAACUCAGGGUGGAGCGGUGAAAUGCGUUGAUAUCCUGAGGAACACCGGUGGCGAAAGCGGCUCACUGGGUCUUUUCUGACGCUGAUGCACGAAAGCCAGGGUAGCGAACGGG
rnacentral:rRNA from 1 species